AUCUUGAAAUUCGUUCUUCUGAUAGAUUACUGUACGCAUUCCGACAUCUUUCUAUACUGUGUGAAUAUCUUGUAUUUAGGUUUCCAUGAAUUAGGCCAUCAUCAGUCGUCGACUGAAACAAUGUUGCUCUUGUAUGGUGUGACCAUAGUAUAACAUUUAAUGCGAUGAUGUAAUUCCAGUUAGGCGAAGACAUGAGGAUUGAGGUCUUUUUCCCACUAGAUUUAUUUUGCUUCUAAUAUUUCUCUACGGUUACACAUGGCCUAUCGACAUGAAGUCAUAAUUGUGAAGCGUAAAGUUUGUUUUGAAAGACGAUUUGUUUCAAGGACGGAAUUUGCAUGAAC